rnacentral:rRNA from 1 species
AGAGUUUGAUCAUGGCUCAGGACUAACGCUGGCGGCGUGCCUAACACAUGCAAGUCUGAGGAGAAUGGGAUUCGCAAGAUUCCCUAGUAAACUGGCGAAAGGGUGAGUAACACGUAGGCAACCUACCCUUCAGUGAGGAAUAACACUGGGAAACCGGUGCUAAUGCCACAUGAUAUCCCGAGUUCGCAUGGACACGGGAUCAAAGAGAGCUUCGGCAACGGAGCAUCGCUGAUGGAUGGGCCUGCGUCCUAUUAGCUUGUUGGUGGGGUAACGGCCUACCAAGGCUACGAUGGGUAGCUGGUCUGAGAGGAUGAUCAGCCACACUGGCACUGAGACACGGGCCAGACUCCUACGGGAGGCAGCAGUGAGGAAUAUUGGGCAAUGGGCGAAAGCCUGACCCAGCAACGCCGCGUGAGUGAUGAAGUACCGAGGUACGUAAAGCUCUGUUAGGAGGGACGAAUGUCCGGCUUGCCGGAAGUGACGGUACCUCCAGAGAAAGCUCCGGCUAACUCCGUGCCAGCAGCCGCGGUAAUACGGGGGGAGCAAGCGUUGUCUGGAUUUAUUGGGCGUAAAGAGCGUGUAGGCGGGCCGAUAAGUCGGUGGUGAAAUCUCUCGGCUUAACCGAGAAAUCGCCUUCGAUACUGUCGGUCUUGAGUAUAGAAGAGGGAAGUAGAAUUCUUGGUGUAGCGGUGACAUGCGUAGAUAUCAGGAGGAAUACCAGUAGCGUAAGCGGCUUCCUGGUCCGUUACUGACGCUAAAACGCGAAAGCGUGGGGAGCAAACAGGAUUAGAUACUCUGGUAGUCCACGCCGUAAACGAUGGGUACUAGGUGUUGGAGGAUCGAUCUCUUCAGUGCCGAGGCUAACGCAUUAAGUACUCCGUCUGGGGGAGUACGAUCGCAAGAUUGAUACUCAAAGGAAUUG